rnacentral:lncRNA from 1 species
UGGAGACUUCGAUAAGCAAACUGCCAGACUCGGGGAAGGAACCUGCUCUGCUUUCUCGCUCAUCUCUCUGAGCAAACUGAAGACAGGAGCUUGGCCUCAAGGAGACAGAAACCUUCAGGAGAUGGGAAGUCACUUCUGAAAGAAAACCUACAGGAUCAGUUUUCCUGACUGCAGUUGUGCCAUGGACACAGCAGAGUCUAUGCCCAAUGAACCC